rnacentral:rRNA from 1 species
GAGUUUGAUCCUGGCUCAGAACGAACGCUGGCGGUGCUUAACACAUGCAAGUCGAACGAGAGAAGCAUUCUCUAGUGGCGGACGGGUGAGUAAUACUUAGGAAUCUGCCUCAAAGUGUGGGAUAACUUUUGGAAACGAAAGGUAAUAGCACAUACGCCCUACGGGGGAAAGGAGCAAUCCGCUUUGAGAUGAGCCUAGGUCCGAUUAGCUAGUUGGUAGGGUAAUGGCCUACCAAGGCGAUGACCGGUAGCUGUUCUUAGAGGAAGAUCAGCCACAUUGGGACUGAGACACGGCCCAGACUCCUACGGGAGGCAGCAGUGAGGAAUAUUGGACAAUGGGGGAAACCCUGAUCCAGCAAUGCCGCGUGAGUGAAGAAGGCCUUCGGGUUGUAAAGCUCUUUUGCAGGUGAAGAUAAUGACGGUAACCUGAGAAUAAGCCCCGGCUAACCUCGUGCCAGCAGCCGCGGUAAUACGAGGGGGGCUAGCGUUGUUCGGAAUUACUGGGCCGUAAAGGGUGCGUAUGUUGUUUUGUAAGUUAGGUGUGAAAUCCUCGAUUUCAAGUUGAGAACUGCACUUAAUACUGCAAAGCUAGAGAAUAGUAAGAUAGUGGAAUUUCAAGUGUAGGGGUAAAAUCCGUAGAUAUUUGAAGGAACAUCAAAGGCGAAGGCGACUAUCUGGGCUAUUUCUGACCCUUGAG